rnacentral:lncRNA from 1 species
AGUUCGAUGCCAAACCAUCACCGACGAACAGGCUCUGGCCCGCUCAUCUACUCCGAUGGCAGUCAGAUUAGCUCGGCAGUUGGAUUUUAGGCCUUAGGUCUAGCCCAAAGUUCAAAAAAAAUUUCGGACUAACUCAAUGAGGGGUGUGGCCUGGCCCAAUCCAGCUCAUUUUCUGUCAUAUUUGCAAUUUCGCUCGAUACUUUGAAACCUCCAGGAUGGAAUUUCUCUGGGUUCCAUACUGGUAUGCUCGCAUGGC